CGUUUGACGUUUAGCUGCAGAAGAAGCACCGGCUAACUCCGUGCCAGCAGCCGCGGUAAUACGGAGGGUGCGAGCGUUAAUCGGAAUUACUGGGCGUAAAGACGCAUGCAGGUGGUUUGUUAAGUUCAGAUGUGAAAGACCCGGGGCGUCAACCUCCGGAAUUGCAUUUGUAAACUAGGCAGACUAGAGUACUGUAGAGGGGGUAGGAAGUUUCAGGUGUAGCGGUGAAAUAGCGUAGAGAUCUGAAGGAAUACCGGUGGCGAAGGCGGCCCCCUCGGACAGAUACUGACACUCAGAUGCGAAAGCGUGGGGAGCAAACAGGAUUAGAUACCCUGGUAG
rnacentral:rRNA from 1 species